rnacentral:rRNA from 1 species
GUUACAAUGAGAAAAUCCGUUAGGCACUUUUAUGCAGGUAUGGUAUAAAGUUAAAGAGUAAUAAAACUUAUUAGUUGUACCUUUUGUAUCAGGGGGCUUUUAAAGUAUAUUAAGGGUAAAGUCGAGUUGGUCAGAUUUUUUUAUUAAAGCGGUAGUGGAAUUUAUAGUUAGAAUAUAGUAAGAGGUGAAAAAUGUACGGUGACCAUGGUAGCUAAUUACUUUAAGGUCCGAGAAGUUAAGCUCUCAGUAGUUUAUGCUAAAAAAUUAGUUAGAAAACUUGGCUUUAGGUUAGCUAUGUUAGUAUAUUGUUAUAAGUAAUCCUUACGGAUUAUAGGGCUAUAAAAUUGCAAGGUAGUAGUAAAAAAUAUUAUUUAUUAUUUAGUAUGAAGCUAUUGAAUGGGGGACGAAAUUAAAAAACAACUUUUAGCAGGUAAGAUAGUUUAGCAAAAACAUUUUUUGCAGGGGUUGUAAGUAAAGCCUGCCCAGUGCUAAGUUAACGGCCGCGGUAUUUUGACUGUGCUAAGGUAGCGUAAUCAUUUGCUUUUUAAUUGGUAGCUGGA